UGUAUUCUACUGCCAUUUUUAGUGUUUAGUUCGGAUGCUUAUUUUCUUCGAUGAUCCAAUUGAUGAGAUUCCUGAUGGUUGAUGGGUUAUAGAUGGACGCCUGCGAAGUACUAAAUUUUGGAUCUUUUGAAAACCUCGUAAAAUGGUCCUCUCUUUUGGUGUUCUUGCUGCUUAUCUUCUCUGCUUCAUUUUUCUUGUAUUACGCUAGCUUGAUCUUGUUUGUUGAAUGUGGAUGUGUCAUGACAGUUGAGAGGAAUAAACUUGGAAGAUUUUGAAGGUUGGUGGCCUAAAUGCAUUUCUCUGCACCUUGUUUCUUGGCCAUAUUGGUGCUUGAACUUCAAUCUGGAGAUUAUCAAGCUUUGAAAGAAGGCGGUUCUCAAUUUUGUCUGGCAUUUGUAGUGAAUUCCGUGGUGGUAUGGUCUUCGCCAGAUUUGCACUUGAACUGUUCCAUUCUUUCUGUGCUUGCAGCUGCUGUGUAAGGUCUUACAGAGCGAUAAAUUCUUCUUUUCAUGGAGCGGCAUGAUCUGUCAAUUUAGUGUUGAGGUUUAUUGUUUGAUGCUCUAAUGAUUGAGAUCUUCAAUUCAGUUUUCUUCCCUAAUCAGAAUGGUUCACUUCUCUCUUGUCAACACUGCUUCACUAGUGUGUAUUUUGUUGCGAUAUUUGUUUGUAAUAAUCCAGAUGCUUAUGUUCUUUGGUUAUCCAACUGACGAGAUCUCCAUGGUUAUGGACUACACUUGAUAAGUGUAUUCAAACUCAAUCAUGUUCUUCUGAUGGCCC
rnacentral:lncRNA from 1 species